rnacentral:rRNA from 1 species
AUGAAGGCAAAGUCGACUCGGGUCUCCGCCUUGACAUCAUCGUCGGCGGGCAUCGGGAGGGAGUCGACGGUCCAAGUGAUUGGGUUGAGAACGGCGAGCCCCUCAUCGAUCAUGUCCCAGAGCAGGACGUGGCCAUGGCGGCAGUCGGCGACGUUCCACCUCGGGGACGCGUCGUCCUCCGCGGGGAGGGAGGUGAGGAAGAAGUCGCCGCGGUGGAGGGCGACGGCGACGUCUGGGUCGGAGCGGCGCACGGGGAUGAAGGCGGGGAUGGAGAUGCCGUCGGUCUCGAGGAAGAUCCCGAUGAAGGGCGCCGGGUGGAGGGCGCGGAAGAGGCGGCGGAAGGGCCGGGAGGAGCGGACGGCGCGGAGCCAGGAGCGGCAGGUGAGCGCGGCGCGGACGAGGGCCGGCAGGUUGGGCAGGCGGAGGAAGAUCUCGCGGAGCUGGUCUUGGCCGAGCGAGGAUAUGGUGGUGGCGACAGCAGAGGUGGUUGCUGGUGUGGUGGUGGUGGUGCCAUCGGCGGCGGAGGUGGUUUUGGUCGUGGUGGUGGUGGUGGUUGUGAUGGCAGUGGUGCCACCGGCGGUGGAGGCCGUUUGGGUUGUGGUGGUGGUUCCGUCGGCGGUGGAAGUGGUGGUGGUCGUUGUGGUCGUGGACAGGAUCGACGGAUGUUUAGCUGGUGGCACGGCGGCCGCGGCCGCCGCCGCCGCCGCCGCCAGCAGCAGCCCACUGCCCAUUGCUGGAGUGAUGGAGAUACCGGAACCCUGGCUGCUUGGUUGGUUCUGCUGUAUAGUUGACGCAUGGCCCAAGCCCAUGAUACGAUUCAUGCUUUCAGCCCAUGUACGCAAGUGGUCUAAAUUAUGCCAUGCCGAGGAAAGCCCAUCAAGUUUUUUCUAA